rnacentral:lncRNA from 1 species
ACUGCCACCCUCUCCCAGGUCUAGAGAGGGGUACCCACGGUGGAGGGAGGUGGGAGGCCGAGACGGCCCCGGGGGUCGGCGGAGACCCAGCGGGAGCAGGGGGAAAUCGGAAGAGCUGGGGGCAUGGAGCGGGCGAGUUUGGAGCGGAAUGAGCCGGGAGCCCUACGUUGUGGAAGGAAGACAACAGUAUAGGACCAUCAGCAGGACCGGACAGAGAGGGGCACCCCUGGCUGUCCUGGAACUUGUAGACCAGGCUGGCCUUGAACUCAGAAAUCCGCCUGCCUCUGACUCCCGAGUGCUGAGAUUAAAGGUGUGCACCACCACACCCGACAAGGAAGCCUGUUUUAAGAAGUGAUUCCAUGGAGGAGUUCUGCGGCGGCUCAGGGCUUGACUAAACAGUGGACCUCAGACAAGAGAGGCUAAACCAGGCUGCAGGUGACAGGAAGAAUUGAAUAAACUGAAAGCAAAGGGCAGCCUUCUAAUUACGCUUCGUGGCUAUGUGGACAACCUGGAGAAGUCUGGAAACACCCGAGGGUGAAGGAUGAGGAGGAUGGAAGAAAAUGGGAGUGGCGCUUGCUGCAAAGGGUCUCGAAGGGUCUCAGCACCUGCGAACUGGCUCCAAUCCAAACUCCACUAUUCAUGGUCAAGUUCACAUAGGGCUUGGGGUUCUAACAAGAUGUGACUAAACUUACGUUUUCUAUCUUAUUGAUUGUUGUUGAUGCACGUCUGGUGGUACAUGCUUGAAGAACACAGACACCCUGAGAAGAAAGACAUAGCUCCCCAGAUUCCAGCACGCACUUCUCUGUGAGCUACCACUGUAGCUGAAGAUACAGGGCUCAGGAGGAACACUUGGCCUUCGCUCUGAACUUCAGGCCCACGUAACCAUCAGCCGACAUGACACUGCAAAGGCACCUUAGCUCUGCUGUCCCAGAUGGCCAAGCCAACCUUAUUCCAGAAGCUACUUCUCCUGAUGUAAGAACCAGACACAAAGGACAACCUCUGCCUCACCCUCCUUCACACAACACUGAGUCUGUCAUCUUUGAAGCAUUUCUCAAGCCAUGUUUAUUCCCCUGGCCUACGUGGAACACAGCCAGGCUUCCUUUUCCUUACCUAGUUUGGCGGACUCCAACUCUUGGGAUAGCUUUUUUUCUGGCCCCAAACUCACCUGAUUCGUCUGUCCACUGCCACACUGAAGAAUGAACAGCUGUCUCAGAGAGCUUGGCUCCAGAGCUCUGCAAAAAGAGGACACCUUGCCUUGAGCUGUGUUUCCAGAAUGUAUUGCAGCCCCCAGAGUCAUGUACUGUGACCAGGUGAGGACAUGCAUCUUCUGUUCUCCUGCACCCAGGGCCCCAGCAACCAAGGAUCUGGGGACAUGGCGGGUGUUUGGCAGGUUCGCACUCUGAAAAUAUUUGAUGAGACUCAGUAUAUGCUAAAUAAACACUGGAUCAAG